CUAGCCGAGCUAGAUGAUCUAUCUACAUACAUGAUCCAAAGCUCUUCAUGCUCUCCCCUCUUCCAAUCUUCAAAUUAAUUUCUGUCGGCUCUUCCUCAUCGAUGGUACAUUCAAGAAUGAAAUCUACAAGCAUCUAUGCUUUAAUUGAAGGUCAAGAUGGAAAUUUCACAUCAAACUCUAACAAUUCAAUGGCCCACUUGGCCACCCAACCAGAUGUAUUAGAUUGGUGGAGCACCAUGUUCAAGGGCUGGUCG
rnacentral:lncRNA from 1 species